GACGAACGCUGGCGGCGUGCUUAACACAUGCAAGUCGAACGGAAAGGCCCUGCUUGCAGGGUACUCGAGUGGCGAAUGGGUGAGUAACACGUGGGUGAUCUGCCCUGCACUUCGGGAUAAGCUUGGGAAACUGGGUCUAAUACCGGAUAGGAGCCAUCUUUAGUGUGGUGGUUGGAAAGUUUUUUCGGUGUAGGAUGAGCUCGCGGCCUAUCAGCUUGUUGGUGGGGUAAUGGCCUACCAAGGCGGCGACGGGUAGCCGGCCUGAGAGGGUGUACGGCCACAUUGGGACUGAGAUACGGCCCAGACUCCUACGGGAGGCAGCAGUGGGGAAUAUUGCACAAUGGGCGCAAGCCUGAUGCAGCGACGCCGCGUGGGGGAUGAAGGCCUUCGGGUUGUAAACUCCUUUCGCUAGGGACGAAGCUUUUUGUGACGGUACCUAGAUAAGAAGCACCGGCUAACUACGUG
rnacentral:rRNA from 1 species